rnacentral:rRNA from 1 species
UACGUAGGGACCGAGCGUUGUCCGGAUUCAUUGGGCGUAAAGAGCUCGUAGGCGGCUGUUCAAGUCGAACGUGAAAACUCGGAGCUCAACUCCGAGCCUGCGUUCGAUACUGGACGGCUAGAGUCUGGUAGGGGGAUCUGGAAUUCCUGGUGUAGCGGUGGAAUGCGCAGAUAUCAGGAGGAACACCGGUGGCGAAGGCGGGAUCCUGGGCCACUACUGACGCUGAGAAGCGAAAGCAUGGGGAGCGAACAGG